rnacentral:rRNA from 1 species
UACGAAGGGGGCUAGCGUUGCUCGGAAUUACUGGGCGUAAAGCGCACGUAGGCGGCUUUCUAAGUCGGGGGUGAAAUCCUGGAGCUCAACUCCAGAACUGCCUUCGAUACUGGAGAGCUCGAGUCCGGGAGAGGUGAGUGGAACUGCGAGUGUAGAGGUGAAAUUCGUAGAUAUUCGCAAGAACACCAGUGGCGAAGGCGGCUCACUGGUCCGGUACUGACGCUGAUGUGCGAAAGCGUGGGGAGCAAACAGG